rnacentral:lncRNA from 1 species
GCCGAGGAGGGUGGAUCAUGAGGUCAGGAGUUCAAGACGGUGAAACUCCAUCUCUACUAAAAACACAAAAAUUAGCCAGGAGCUGUGGCAGGUGCCUGUAAUCCCAGCUACUCAGUAGGCUGAGGCAGGAGAAUCACUUGAACCCGGGAGGUGGAGGUUGCAGUGAGCUGAGAUCGCGCCACUGCACUCUAGCCUGGGCGACAGAGCAAGACUAAAAAUAAAAAUGAAAAAAUUAUUAUCCAUGGUAUUAUCAUGGUAGUACUGACUAAAAGAGGGACACGUGUAACAAAAUCAGUAAGGAGGGUACUCCAAGAAUCCAUGUUAAAGUUAAUGAGGGCUCGAACCCAAACAUAAAGGAUGGAAAUGAUGUAAUAAAAUACCUUUUGAAAGUUAUAUUUAAAAAUUUUUGGUGAAUAGUCUAGUUAGAGGUGAAAGAAGAAAGCAGAGGAGUCUAAUGCAAUGCGUGACUUGUAGCUCAGGUAAAGGGGUGGCAGGUGACGCUUAAAUACUAGAAAUAUAAGAAGCAGCACAGGUUUGGUUUUAUCUGUGAGAACAAUGGAGUGGAGGUAUGCUUUAGAUGCAAUUAUUUAUGGGAUAUUCAAAACAGAUAUCUAUGAAGCAAAAAACUUGGGCCCAAAAAACAAGUUUGAAGGUAUAUUUGGGAGUUACCAGUAAUAUAGGUAACUGUUGAAGCUCUAAAUAUAGAAGACAAACUAGAGGAGCUUGUUUCUUGAAGAAUUCUUGUCACACUUGACAUUUUUUACAGAGAUUUCUUAAAACAGGGGCAUAUCUUCUUUGGCUAACAUAUGCAGACUAAAAUGAAAGAGUAUAGUAUAUUAUAAAAUCAAUAAAAGGUAAGAUAAAUUGAGGCCUAAAAAUAAAGAAUAAAUACACUCAGUUGAUUCUGAAGCUCUAAUUUACAGAUGCAAAAUUGUACCAGUACAUUAACUCAUAUGUCAAAACAACAUCUAGAGAAACAAAAAAUGAAAGUAAAAUGGAAAAAGAUAAAAGAAGAGAGGCAAGGAGAAGAGAAUGGGCAAAAGGAGAUAGGAAAAACAGGAAUUUUUUUUUAAAGGGCUAAAAUUUUAGUGAAUCAGAUGUGGAAAACAGUUGGAUUAACAUUGAGAUCAAAUGAGAAAGGAGCAAAUAAGGAAAGAUGUAUUACAAACCAAGAGUAAAAAAGGGAAAACAAAAUAACAAAAGCAAAAACUAUUUAAAAAGAAUAAAGGAAGACGUGAUAAUGAAGUAAAUUUAAAAAGUACGGAAUAAUAAAAAGAAAUUGCAAAAAAUACCUUUUGAAAAUAAACAUACUAAUAACUUGACAAUAAAGUGAAAUGUGUAAGACAAACAUAUCUGUGUCAUUAUUUAGGAGUAGUGAAAAGUACUCUUAAAUAAUAAUUUGGUAUCUAGCAGGCCUGGAUUUGAAUCUACUUUAACUUGCUAGCUAUGUGACCUUGGGCAAGCAAAGAAACUCCUCAUAACCAUUGUAAUAAUACCACCAAAAUGCCUUACACUUACGGCUCAAAAAAUGAAGGAAAUGAGAGAAAAAAGUAUAGAUUACUAUAUGGAAGUCAAAUUUCUAGUGACUUUUCUAAUCCAAACAUGAAUUGUUACAGUACUUGAAAUAAACUUUAUGAGAACUGAGUGACUACAUUGCUUCAGAUAGUUUUAUACUGCUAGGUCAACGCUGCCUGACAGUAAUAAGAACAGGAUGUGGGAUUCAAUAUGCUCAUUCUAUCUCAAACUCUGUCACACAUACAAUGACUGCUAUUUACCUUCCUCCUGAGCCAUCUGGGAAAAAACCAACCAACCAAACAAACAAACAAAAGAAAAACCCACCAGGUAGGAGUCAGUUAGUUCUGCUAACUAACUAACCAAAAACCUUAAUUGUAUGGCCACCAGCACCCUAGCCCUUUGUCAUGAAAGCUACCAAUAAGGUGGAAAUUUAAAAUAUGAAAUAUUUCAUUAUACAUGUUUUAUUAAACCCUACAUGUGCAGAAAUGAUUGUCCAUUUUCCUUCUUAACUUGCUUUUGUAAGACUUAUUAAGUAGAAAAUAUAAAUCUCAAGCUCCUUAAAUGUGAUUUUGAGGAACUGAGACCAAAACAAUUUUUUGCUGUGGAACCAGAUCCUUGAAUGCACUACAGGAAAAUAUUAUUUGAUAUGAAAUUUUUUUGAAAAGGAAAAAAUCAUGGGUACUUUAAUUAGUUAAUAGAAACCACUGUAAAUGAGUUAUCUAUCUCCAGAACAUUCUCAGAGAAUUUACACGAACUAAAACAGGAAUGAAGUGCUCUCAGAGACUUUUUCUCAGGUAAAUGUAUUUAGUAGUUUGAGUAGUUGAUCUGCAGAAACUUUAACUUUAAUUAACUACAUAGAUGAAUAUUUUUUAUUUUGAAAUUUGAGAAUGUCCUAAGAGGAUGUCUACAGGAUAUGAAACUACUGGGUGCAGGAAAAUUUUUUAAGUGUUAGCAAAUUGUGGCAAG